UUAUAGGUUGAAAAAGUCCAAGAUUUGCAGUCUGCAAGUUAGAGACCCAGGAGAGCCAAUGUCCAGUUGCAGUGUGAAUUCAAAGGCCUGAGAACCGUGAGAGCUGAUGGUAUAAGUUCCAGUCCAAAAGCCAGCAGGCUUGAAACCCAAGAAGAGCUGAUGUUUCGGUACAAGACUGAAGCAGGUGACUGAGGCCAAACCAGUAUGAGAGCUCCUUUGAAAAACCCAGCGAGGGCCAGGAAGGCCAGACAAGUGGACUUUCAUUGCAGGCCCGCUGAAUGUGGACUCCAACGGUGCCCUAGGGGAUGGUGGAGCCACCAGAUGGAAGUAGCCUGGUAAUCCUGAGAAGGAGAGAUGCCUCGCUGACGUGAACAUCUUUCCAGAACUGUUAAGAAGUGACAAAAUUGCAGCCCCUGAAGAGCAGGAGAAUCCUGGACUCUAUGGCUUCCCCCUGCUGUUUGCAACUGCAUUUGAUUCCACUUUUGUGUGUUUUCCCCUUUUCGUGAUUAAUAUUUGCUGGAAAUGUAUUGAUUUUUCAGUCUUUUCAAGAAAACUGCUCUUGGGCUUAUGUCUCAAUUAUACUGCUUUUAUGUUUCCUCAUUUAUUUAUUUAUUGAAGCUUUUAUCUUUCAUUCUCUUUAUUUUUAUUUGCUACCCCUUCCCUUGAAUUUUUAAUUUAUUUGUUGAUCCAUUAAUUGUAUCUUUUGGCAAUAAAAACAUUUCAAGCUAUAAAUUUCCCCAC